rnacentral:tRNA from 1 species
GCUUGUUUAGCUCAGCGGUAAGAUUCCCAAAGGAAAAAUAAUCCUAAUACAUGUCUAACAAGUAUCACAGGCAGAGCGAGAGAUUGCAGUCAGUUAUCUCUAGGUCCAUCGUUCGAAUCGGUGAACAAGCU